rnacentral:rRNA from 1 species
CUUAKWKGCAGACGGGUGAGUAAUGUAUAGGAAUCUACCUAGUAGUACGGAAUAAUUGUUGGAAACGGCAACUAAUACCGUAUACACCCUACGGGGGAAAGAUUUAUUGCUAUUAGAUGAGCCUAUAUUAGAUUAGCUAGUUGGUAAGGUAAUGGCUUACCAAGGCAAUGAUCUAUAGCUGAUCUGAGAGGAUGAUCAGCCACACUGGAACUGAGAUACGGUCCAGACUCCUACGGGAGGCAGCAGUGGGGAAUAUUGGACAAUGGGCGAAAGCCUGAUCCAGCCAUGCCGCAUGAGUGAAGAAGGCCUUUGGGUUGUAAAGCUCUUUCGGUGAGGAAGAUAAUGACGGUACUCACAGAAGAAGUCCUGGCUAACUCCGUGCCAGCAGCCGCGGUAAUACGGAGAGGGCUAGCGUUAUUCGGAAUUAUUGGGCGUAAAGAGCGCGUAGGCUGGUUAGUAAGUUAAAAGUGAAAUCCCAAAGCUCAACUUUGGAAUUGCUUUUAAAACUGCUAACCUAGAGAUUGAAAGAGGAUAGAGGAAUUCCUAGUGUAGAGGUGAAAUUCGUAAAUAUUAGGAGGAACACCAGUGGCGAAGGCGUCUAUCUGGUUCAAAUCUGACGCUGAGGCGCGAAGGCGUGGGGAGCAAACAGGAUUAGAUACCCUGGUAGUCCACGCUGUAAACGAUGAAUGUUAAAUAUGGGAAGUUUACUUUCUGUAUUACAGCUAACGCGUUAAACAUUCCGCCUGGGGACUACGGUCGCAAGAUUAAAACUCAAAGGAAUUGACGGGGACCCGCACAAGCGGUGGAGCAUGUGGUUUAAUUCGAUGCAACGCGAAAAMCUUACACUCCUU